rnacentral:rRNA from 1 species
AGAGUUUGAUCCUGGCUCAGGACGAACGCUGGCGGCACGCUUAACACAUGCAAGUCGAGCGAGAGAAGAGGAGCUUGCUUUUCUGAUCUAGUGGCGGACGGGUGAGUAACACGUGAGCAAUCUGCCUUUCAGAGGGGGAUACCGAUUGGAAACGAUCGUUAAUACCGCAUAACAUAAUUGAACCGCAUGAUUUGAUUAUCAAAGAUUUAUCGCUGAAAGAUGAGCUCGCGUCUGAUUAGCUAGUUGGUAAGGUAACGGCUUACCAAGGCGACGAUCAGUAGCCGGACUGAGAGGUUGAUCGGCCACAUUGGGACUGAGACACGGCCCAGACUCCUACGGGAGGCAGCAGUGGGGAAUAUUGCACAAUGGAGGAAACUCUGAUGCAGCGAUGCCGCGUGAGGGAAGAAGGUUUUAGGAUUGUAAACCUCUGUCUUCAGGGACGAAAAAAGACGGUACCUGAGGAGGAAGCUCCGGCUAACUACGUGCCAGCAGCCGCGGUAAUACGUAGGGAGCGAGCGUUGUCCGGAAUUACUGGGUGUAAAGGGAGCGUAGGCGGGAUCGCAAGUCAGAUGUGAAAACUAUGGGCUUAACCCAUAAACUGCAUUUGAAACUGUGGUUCUUGAGUGAAGUAGAGGUAAGCGGAAUUCCUAGUGUAGCGGUGAAAUGCGUAGAUAUUAGGAGGAACAUCAGUGGCGAAGGCGGCUUACUGGGCUUUAACUGACGCUGAGGCUCGAAAGCGUGGGGAGCAAACAGGAUUAGAUACCCUGGUAGUCCACGCCGUAAACGAUGAUUACUAGGUGUGGGGGGACUGACCCCUUCCGUGCCGCAGCAAACGCAAUAAGUAAUCCACCUGGGGAGUACGACCGCAAGGUCGAAACUCAAAGGAAUUGACGGGGGCCCGCACAAGCAGUGGAGUAUGUGGAUUAAUUCGAAGCAACGCGAAGAACCUUACCAGGUCUUGACAUCGUAUGCAUAGCUCAGAGAUGAGUGAAAUCUCUUCGGAGACAUAUAGACAGGUGGUGCAUGGUUGUCGUCAGCUCGUGUCGUGAGAUGUUGGGUUAAGUCCCGCAACGAGCGCAACCCUUACUGUUAGUUGCUACGCAAGAGCACUCUAGCAGGACUGCCGUUGACAAAACGGAGGAAGGUGGGGAUGACGUCAAAUCACCAUGCCCCUUAUGACCUGGGCCUCACACGUACUACAAUGGCUGUCAACAGAGGGAAGCAAAGCCGCGAGGUGGGGCGAACCCCUAAAAGCAGUCUUAGUUCGGAUUGUAGGCUGCAACCCGCCUACAUGAAGUCGGAAUUGCUAGUAAUCGCAGAUCAGCAUGCUGCGGUGAAUACGUUCCCGGGCCUUGUACACACCGCCCGUCACGCCAUGGGAGUCGGUAACACCCGAAGCCUGUAGUCGG